rnacentral:rRNA from 1 species
UACGGAGGGUGCGAGCGUUGUUCGGAAUCACUGGGCGUAAAGGGCGUGUAGGCGGUCCGCUAAGUCUGAUGUGAAAGCCCGGGGCUCACCCCCGGAAGGGCAUUGGAAACUGACGGACUCGAGUCCCGAAGAGGAGGGUGGAAUUCCUGGUGUAGCGGUGAAAUGCGUAGAUAUCAGGAGGAACACCGGUGGCGAAGGCGAGUCUCUGGGCCGAAACUGACGCUGAGGUGCGAAAGCGUGGGGAGCAAACAGG